rnacentral:rRNA from 1 species
UACAGGGGGUGCAAACGUUGCUCGGAAUUAUUGGGCGUAAAGCGCGCGUAGGCGGUGACUCAAGUCGGAUGUGAAAGCCCUUGGCUUAACCUGGAGACGCCACUUGAUACUGCUGUGGCUAGAGUCCGGUAGGGGAGCAUGGAAUUCCUGGUGUAGCGGUGAAAUGCGCAGAUAUCAGGAGGAACACCAGUGGCGAAGGCGGUGCUCUGGGCCGGAACUGACGCUGAGGAGCGAAAGCGUGGGGAGCAAACAGG